rnacentral:snoRNA from 1 species
UCUUCUGAUGAUCAAUUUUUUGUGCUUCGGCACGUUGGAAUUACCGUCUGAUGUCAAAUGACGAUAUCAACUGGCUGUUUCUGAUU